rnacentral:rRNA from 1 species
GACGAACGCUGGCGGUGUGCUUAACACAUGCAAGUCGAACGGAAAGGCCUCUUUCGGGGGGUACUCGAGUGGCGAACGGGUGAGUAACACGUGAGUAACCUGCCCUUGACUUUGGGAUAACUUCAGGAAACUGGGGCUAAUACCGGAUAGGAGCUCCUGCUGCAUGGUGGGGGUUGGAAAGUUUCGGCGGUUGGGGGUGGACUCGCGGCUUAUCCGCUUGUUUGUGGGGUAGUGGCUUACCAAGGCUUUGACGGGUAGCCGGCCUGAGAGGGUGACCGGCCACAUUGGGACUGAGAGACGGCCCAGACUCCGACGGGAGGCAGCAGUGGGGAAUAUUGCACAAGGGGUGGAAGCCUGAUGCAGCAACGCCGUGGACGGGAUGACGGCCUUCGGGUUGUAAACCGCUUUCGCUCAUGACGAAGCUUUGUGUGACGGUAGUGGGUAAAGAAGCACCGGCUAACUACGUG